UGUGGGUUCCAGCCUUCUUUCCCAUCACUAUACUUCCUUCGGAUUCCUUUCUGAGUUGCUCCCAUAUUCGUUUACUCAAAGCCAACACUGGAAUCAUGUAACUGAAGAUAAAUCUGCAGCAGUGUCGAGGAUGGACUGGAAGGUUAAGCCUAGAGGUGGGGAGACGUGGAGGAUAUUGUCCAAGGUCAGCGAGCUGUAUCACCUCUUCAGUGAGAUCCAGUUCCCUAAAAGACGAGAGAAAGCAUUGCAGUAGCUUCCUUCUUCUGCUUGGAGGAUGGAGAGAGGGAAAUAUAAAUGGCCUCACUAACUUCUUGAAACUAGAGAGGCCAGGCAGAGGGGCAGCAGAGCAGGGGAUUAAAUGCUUGGAUUCUCGGUUCUACCUUUUGCUAUCCACGUGGCCUUGCCUCAGCUUCCUCAAAGAUGGUGAUAACUGUACCUCCCCGGCAGUGAUGCAGUGAGGGGCAGCGGAGUCCACACGCGUACAGCGCUUGGCACAACGAUGAGGCGCCCUGAGCACUUGGUAAUUGUUGGCAGCGGUUAUUAUUUUUUUGGUUUUUUGGUUUUUUUUUUUUUGCGAUAUGCGGGCCUCUCACUGUUGUGGCCUCUCCCGUUGCGGAGCACAGGCUCCAGACGCGCAGGCUCAGUAGUUGUGGCUCACGGGCCUAGCCGCUCCGCGGCAUGUGGGAUCUUCCCAGACCAGGGCACGAACCCGCAUCCCCUGCAUCGGCAGGCGGACUCUCAACCACUGCGCCACCAGGGA